rnacentral:rRNA from 1 species
GACGAACGCUGGCGGCGUGCUUAACACAUGCAAGUCGAACGAUGAACUUGGAGCUUGCUCUGGGGGAUUAGUGGCGAACGGGUGAGUAACACGUGAGUAACCUGCCCUGGACUCUGGGAUAACUUCGAGAAAUCGGAGCUAAUACCGGAUAGGACCUUGCACCGCAUGGUGUGGGGUGGAAAGUUUUUCGGUUUGGGAGGGGCUCGCGGCCUAUCAGCUUGUUGGUGAGGUAAUGGCUCACCAAGGCGUCGACGGGUAGCCGGCCUGAGAGGGUGACCGGCCACACUGGGACUGAGACACGGCCCAGACUCCUACGGGAGGCAGCAGUGGGGAAUAUUGCACAAUGGGCGCAAGCCUGAUGCAGCAACGCCGCGUGCGGGAUGACGGCCUUCGGGUUGUAAACCGCUUUUAGUAGGGAAGAAGCCUUCGGGUGACGGUACCUGCAGAAAAAGGACCGGCUAACUACGUGCCAGCAGCCGCGGUAAAAC